GCCUGGGUGGCUCAGUUGGUUGAGCGUCUGACUCCAGCUCAGGUCAUGAUCUCACAGUUUGUGGGUUCGAGCCCCGCAUCAGGCU
rnacentral:tRNA from 1 species